CAGGGGAAGCUGUGGCCACCGAAGUCUCGCGAGAUCUGGCGCUGCCGCCGCCGCCAUGGAGGCGCCGGUGCGCGGCCCGCCCGGGCUGUCGGCUGUGCUGGCGAGCACGGACUGGUCCGAGCCUUGGCUGCUGGGGCUGGCGGCCUUCCACCUGCUCUGCUUCCUUCUGACGUGCGCGUCCCUGCAGCACCGCCGGGUGCAGGUCGGGCACUUCCUCUGCAUGGCAGGCUUAGUGUACUGUGCUGAAUAUAUCAAUGAGUUAGCAGCCAUGAAUUGGAGGCUCUUUUCUAAAUACCAAUACUUUGAUUCAAGAGGAAUGUUUAUUUCACUUGUAUUUUCAGCGCCACUGCUGGUGAAUACUAUUAUAAUUGUGGUCUCCUGGGUUUACAGAACUUUGAAUGUAAUGACUGAACUAAAGAUGCUACAGCAGAGAAGGAAAACCGAGAAAAAAAAGUGAAAGUGCCAAACACUAUUUUUCUUUCUUCGGUUGUAAUAACACCUGUCCGGGUAAUCAGUUCUUCUGCAUGGGUAUGCAAAAACAGAAGGAUUUUUGUGCCCGAUGUCAAGAGGACUUUGUAAUUGUGGCUGUGGACACUGAGAUGACAGCAGGAUUUGGUAUCAGGAGACUACUUCAGAAGGCCUCAGGUUGACUCUGUAUCCUGGAGAAUGCUAAAUGAUCUCCCUACAGAAAAAGGGGAAACUGCCCACCUUGCUAAUAUUCUCUCAUAGUCUUGGUGUUCAUUUUCCAAGAGAAGAGAAAAAGAAAAUAGGUAUCCUGGCAAGAAUGGGAUGUUAAAGGACAGUGGUUGUGACUUGGGCUUCUGUAGGUUUUCCCACAGCAGAGAACUCCACCUUCUUUCAGACCUGACUGUUCUGGUUCUGCCUGCAGGCUCCAAGCAAACUGAAGAUGCAGGAGAGGACAUUCUCAUUGAAGCAGAGAAAGAAAUCAAGUAAGCUCACAUACUACUUUCCCCUCUUGAUUCUGAGUUCAUCUCAGGAUUUUAUGCCCUGCCACCCUACUUUUCAUGCAGGAAUGAUUAUCUCUUUACCCUUCUUUUCAGGCAGGAGUGGUUAUCUCUUUCCCUUAUUAGAGUUUAGGGUUAGCUACUUCAUUUAUAAAUAAAUUAGAAACCUGUUACACACUGUGGAGUGGACACCACCUUGUCUAUACAAUACUGUCAUUACUCAAAAUUAGAACUUUGCUUGCCUUUUCACUGUGUAGGAUGUGUUUCCUAAUUUUUCAGAAGGAUAAAAAUAAUUGAUUUAUAAAGACAGAUUAUGAUAUUCUAGUACUAGGAGCUAAUAGGAAGGAAUAAUUAAUAAAAUAAAGGCUCUGUUGGUCCAGGCCAAUUCCAUUCCAGUGCUGUGUCUCUAUGGCAAAUAGAAGUUACUUUGUGAAGCUUGUAAGAACAAAAACAUCAUAUGUCCCAGCAUCCCACCACACAUCACCUGAUGUCUUAUCAGGACAUCCUGAUAAGAACACAGCUGUUAAAUAGCCUUUGAUGUACUUUUUUUCCCCAUACAAAUGUCAUAAUUUCAAUGAAUGCUUCAGGGCAAGUUCAAUGGUGUGUUCUUCUUGGGGCUAAUCUUCAAGGAUAUUCACUCACCUUUUGUGAGAUGCAGGAAAGCCAUUGUCCCCAUUUUCCUUUUGGAAGUUGAGCUGAACCCAUUGGGUAUUUACCGCCUAAGCAAACGUGCUGAAAAGCAUGGGAUCAAGUCCAAACUUAAUGAGUUCAGGUUUUUAACUCAUUAAAAAUUUUAGCAGCAAUAAUGCUAAUUUGAUUGAAGUUCUUCAGCAUUUUCCAAGCUUUUAAUGAUCCCAGGUCAACUCUGAAAGCAAAGUACAUAAAUAAUGUGAUUUUGAUACCAUGUUCCAAAUAACUGGACUAUCUGGUCCCUGUUUAAAAUGAGAAGUGGAUGCCAAUCUGAUUUGCUACCUUAAUGCUUGCAAAUUCCAUGUGAAUAAAUAAUAUGUCUACUUUCUUGUCCUCCUAAGUGGGGGUGAAUGGGAUUUUUUUGGGGGGAGGGGGGAGAAUUAUAUGUUGAUAAUUGAUUUGAACUGAUAUUUCGGGGUUUUUUUUUGUUUGGGUUGAGUUGGAUUGGUUUUUAGGGAUAAGUUCUUUUGAGUAACAUUUGGUAGAGCUUUCUCAAGUCUAAGCUGAAACUGCUGGUCAUGGUGAUCAGACAGAAAAAGACGGAAGGAACCUCCUGAUAACUCACAGCUCAAGGAAUGGGACCCUCAUUUAGAAAGUGAUAUAACUAGACUCACUCACAGUCCUGGCCUGGGUAAGAUACGAGCUUGAGACCCACCACAGUGGAGUGUACUUACCCACAGCCUCUUAGAUCUUCUUGGGCAGCCUGUUCCUUCUACCUCCUGUCAAGGGCCCAAGAGAGAGACCUCAAUUAUUAGACAGGGAGAAAGGCUGGUUCAAAGUCUAACCUGCUGGGGCAAAGUGCACCUGGAGUCAUGCCUCUGGGAUCUCUCCAACCUUGGUGAACAGUCUAGACAUCAAAAUACUCCUGAAUGAGGCUCUCUAUUGUAUUUUGUUUUGCCUGCAAAUGUUAAUAAAGGAUAUAUAUUUUGGAAAUACUUUAAGGAACAGUUGACUAAAUCUUAACUCAUUCUUGAAGUAUCAUACUGGAAAUAGAUGGACAGUUUUUUAUUUUACUAAAGAAACAAGAAGAGAAAUCACUGAAAAAUAUGCUUAAAAAUUAGUAGCAUUAGUUUAAAUGUUCAUAAUAUUUGGGCUAAAACCAAGAAAUCUUUCAAACAAGGUGUCAAAAGAUACAGUAGCAACAAUUCAGAGUUAAAGCUAUGUUAUUUUUUUGAAAGAUUGCUGUACAAUUUUAAGGAAAAGAAUGUUGUGCUGCAAAGUGCUUGGGUAUUUGCAUAAAUUUUAAAAAUAAUAUUGUUUCUUUCCUGAUUACAAUUAGUCAUGUACAUGGGAAAUUGUAAGGUAAUGAAUGUUAUAUGUACAGUAAAAAUAACUACAUGCAUAUGGCAAGGAAGGACUAUUGCUAAUCUUUUUGUAACAGCUUAAAUGAUCAUUAUUCUUGCAUUUGUUGAUAGGUUUUUCCUGCUUAACUGUUGAAAACAUUUUAGUACUAUAUGGUGGCUUUUCUCCAGGUCUACAUAAUAUUGUUUUCUUGUUGCAAGAGGGAAAAUUUACAUUAAGCUUCGUAUAUAGUAAUUGACAUUUAUAGUGCAUGUGGGAUUGAUUACUUUAACACAUGAGAAAGCUGGAGCCUUAAAAUAUACAGAAUAUUAUAAUUUUCCAACACAUUAUUUACUCUGUACUAUUAAAUGCUCCACUGUUGGUCAGUUUCAACAUUCUUGAUACCUGAAUUUUUUGCUAUGAGAAUAUAAAUUAAGUCUCAAUGCACAGGUAUUUCUGAAUGUCCAUCAAUGUUGUAUGUAUUUCUAUGAUAUUGUUUCACUUGUGUUAGUCCCAUUGUGAAAUUUUGCCUGAAGCUCUGGCAAAGACAUUGGCAGUAAAGGUAUUUUGAAAAAAUGGAUGAAUUUUUAAGGUAUGUAAUUUUGGUCUGAAUAGGUAUAUUACAGUCGUUAAAUUCUGAGCUGCUCUUCCCAACAAAAAUUAUGUCUGAAAUUAGCCAGAUUGUUUUUCUGGGGAAAAAAAAGGAAAGUUGGAUUGGGAUUUCGUGCAACAUUUUGACUCUUAGAACUGCACAAACUUUGAUGUUGUUUCCAAAAACCUGAAAGCAAAGCUGUGUAGUAUACAUCAAAAAUUGUAAAAUCAAGACGAGAAUCUUUUUUUUUUUCAAUGUGAGAACUUCUACUAGCAUUAGCUUAAAAGUUCUCAUUUCCUUUAACUAUAAAAAGUAGAGCAGUUCAGCUCACAACUUUUAGGUCAAAGUUAUGCCUAAAAUUCUCUCACCGUUUGAGGGCAAAAUCCGAGAGACUUUAGCUGUGAUCCUUGGGAGGGGCAUUGCUUAAGCAGUGAAGGGAGCACCAACCUCAGGAAAGCAUAAGAUUUCCCCCAUUUUUUCUCUGAUUAUAUAUGCAUUUCCCUUGUGUGUGUGUGUGUGUGUGUGUGUGUGUGUGUGUCUGAGUGUGUGUGUGUGUGUCCCAGUCUCAUUCCAUCCCCAAAAUUCUGACAUUAAAAUUCAGGUGGCCUUCAUCUUAACAGCAACCUCUAGCAAUAACCAGUUUUGUUUGUUUUUUGAAAAUUGAAAGGAAUCAGAUAACAAAAUUGUAGACAAGUAGUUAACUAAAGUUUCACAUUGUCAUGUUAGAAACACAAAUGUUUGAAAUGUCAUGACAGAGAAGGUCACAGCCACACUAUUAAAUACAGCACCAUCGAAGGCAGGGUGAGAAAGACACUUGCUGUAGGAUGUCCUCUGAGUGGGUGCAGCAUAGAAGGAGCUGUCUUCAGGUCCUAUCAGACACUGCUCUUGCUCCUCCUGCUAGCUGGGAAGAGAAGUUGCACACCCACAGUGUAUGAAUUCCUGGUGGGCAGCAAGUGCUGGAAGACUUGAAGUAGAAAAGGGGUGCUGUAUCUCAUCACAGCCAAUAUGCUUUUCAUCCUCACAUAAGGGAGAUGUGAAAUGACUGGUGGGCUGCCUGAAUAAUAUUUCUGAACAAUUGAUUGUGCUUUAUUUGCCACAAAUUUUAUUAAAUGCUAAAGCUCUACUCUUGUGCGUGACAUUCCUUUCACUGACCUUGAAAACAUCUCAGAAAGAUUAGUAAAGGUUACUACAUUUUAUACAGAAAUGCAACACAAACAAACUUUAGGGAUGUCUCUGACAGGGAGAGAGAGAUGUGAGAAGAUGCUUUUCUCAGUCAGCAGAUAGCUGUUGCUCCCCACCUGCAGGUGACCAUUAGCAUGGGAAGCAAAGGGUCACUUACUCUUUUCCUGAGAGUAUGAAUUAACAUUAAAUCUAUCUUGGAGCAAGAAAACACACUACACUAUGUAGUGAAAUGAAUUCUAAAUCACUAAAAAAAUAUAUUACAAAGAUGUUAGAUGUGGCUGCAAAAAAGCUUCAUCUGAAUUAUUUUUCUGGUUAGUCACUGGUGGUAGGUUGCUUACAACUGUAAAUUUAAACAUCCAUGAUUAAUUAAAUAUAUAUCUCUUACAUUUGACAUUUUCAUAUUUAGUAUGUAACUGUUAAAAGUUUAAUAAGCAAUUAAAAUAUGCAAUUUAGAUCUUGACUUUUAACUGUUUAUGUAAGAGUUGAAAGGGUUAACAAUGUGUAAUGGUUUUUCAUUUAAUUUAAUUUUAUUUGCACAGUUAUUGGAGAACCCCUUUGCUGUACUAAAUUUCAUUGCAUGGCGAAGUCUUCAUUACAAUGGUGUCAUAAAUACCUCAUUUAUAUUCAGCAUUUACAAUUUGGCCUUUCUGCCAAAAUCAGCUUUAACAGUAAAAUAAAACCAGGCUCCUUGUACAAGACACUUACUCCCAGGUUACCAUUGUUAGACAGUCGAAACACUGUUCUCCAUCUAACACCAUGAAAGACUUUACAAAAUAUUUUUUCCCUGUCAUGCAACCUUUUGGCUGUAAGGUCUCAAAAUUUUCUAGGAAAUUUUAAAAUUUCAACUAAAAACACACUUCAGCUAGUGCAUCUGGGAACAGCUUUGGUGCAGGAAAAAAAACAACCACAAGUUUUGUAUUUCUAUUCUCUCCUUCUAUUGUUGUUAUUGUUGUUGCUGGGGUUUUUUUAAUAAGAAAAGCCAUGAUUCUUCUGGGACUCUGUGAAUUAUAGCUGUUAUUUUAUUACCAGCAGAGGUGAAAAAUUAAGUAAGCAUUUGAAAUAUGAACGUUGGAAAACAAAAGUGAGCUUUUCUCUUACAUCUAUUUUUUUCUAAUGAAGUCUCAUUUCUUGCAAUUUAUUGGUAAUGCCUCUAAUUAUAACGUCUUUGUUUUUAUUUACAACGGUAAUUUCUUUUAUAAUGUUUCUUAUCUGUGUAAUCUCACCUGUUAGCUCCUGAUAGUAUGGAAUAAAAAGUUCUAGUUUUCUCACUAUUUCACAGUCAAACUUUUUCUGCUCUUUUAGAAAUCUUUUACCCCGACCUCUUAUACUCUACUACUAUUGCACUGAGCACACUAUUAUUUCUUGUACAGAGUAGUCUUACUGGGAGGAAUACAAAGAUGCUAGAAUCUGAAAUUCAUAAUGAUCCUCUAAGGAAGCAUAAGUUCGCUGCUAACCUCACUGAAGAG